rnacentral:tRNA from 1 species
ACCUGAGUGGCUCAGUCACUAAGCGUCUGACUUUGGCUCAGGUUAUGAUCCCAUGGUUUGUGAGUUUGAGCCCCACUUCAGGUG